rnacentral:rRNA from 1 species
UACGUAGGGUGCAGGCGUUAAUCGGAAUUACUGGGCGUAAAGCGCACGCAGGUGGCUGAGUCAGUCGAUUGUGAAAGCCCUGGGCUUAACCUGGGAAUUGCAGUCGAUACUACUCAGCUAGAGUAUGGGAGAGGGUGAGUGGAAUUCCCGGGAUCGAGCGGUGAAAUGCGUAGAUAUCGGGAGGAACAUCAGUGGCGAAGGCGGCUACCUGGCCCAAUACUGACACUCAGGUGCGACAGCGUGGGGAGCAAACAGG